rnacentral:rRNA from 1 species
UACGUAGGGGGCAAGCGUUGUCCGGAUUCACUGGGUGUAAAGGGUGCUCAGGCGGACUUGUAAGUCAGAGGUGAAACUCCGAGGCUCAACCUCGGAACUGCCUUUGAUACUGCAAGUCUCGAGUACGGGAGAGGGUAAUGGAAUAACAGGUGUAGCAGUGAAAUGCGUAGAUAUCAGGAGGAACACCAAUGGCGAAGGCAGCUCGCUGGGACGUGACUGACGCUGAGACGCGAAAGCGUGGGGAGCAAACAGG